rnacentral:rRNA from 1 species
UACGUAGGGUGCGAGCGUUGUCCGGAAUUAUUGGGCGUAAAGAGCUUGUAGGCGGUUUGUCGCGUCUGCUGUGAAAAUCCGAGGCUCAACCUCGGACUUGCAGUGGGUACGGGCAGACUAGAGUGUGGUAGGGGAGACUGGAAUUCCUGGUGUAGCGGUGAAAUGCGCAGAUAUCAGGAGGAACACCGGUGGCGAAGGCGGGUCUCUGGGCCGAUACUGACGCUGAGGAGCGAAAGCGUGGGGAGCGAACAGG